UUGUAUAUUCGACAAUGGCAGUAGUGUCGAGUUCAGUUAAACGGAUGGUUCGAUUAACCGUACCGAGUCUCACCCACGUUAUAUUCUAAAAUGUUAAAAACCGCUAAAAUACAAGAUGAAGAACGACUGCGCAAAUUUUGUGUAGUUAUGUUGCAGCCAAAGUACGAAUACGAAUCAGUUCUUUUCGGGGAACUAUACCGGGACUGCAGUUUUAAAGAAAAGAUGGAUAGAUUUUAGAGAUUUU